rnacentral:rRNA from 1 species
CCUACGGGUGGCUGCAGUGAGGAAUAUUGGUCAAUGGGCGGAAGCCUGAACCAGCCAAGUCGCGUGAGGGAAUAAGGCCCUCGGGUUGUAAACUUCUUUUGUCAGGGACGAAGCAAGUGACGGUACCUGACGAAUAAGCCACGGCUAACUACGUGCCAGCAGCCGCGGUAAUACGUAGGUGGCAAGCGUUAUCCGGAUUUACUGGGUGUAAAGGGCGUGUAGGCGGGGAAGCAAGUCAGGUGUGAAAUUCCAGGGCUCAACCCUGGAACUGCAUUUGAAACGGUUUUUCUUGAGUGAUGGAGAGGCAGGCGGAAUUCCGUGUGUAGCGGUGAAAUGCGUAGAUAUACGGAGGAACACCAGUGGCGAAGGCGGCCUGCUGGACAUUAACUGACGCUGAGGCGCGAAAGCGUGGGGAGCAAACAGGUUUAGAUACCCCAGUAGUC